rnacentral:rRNA from 1 species
GACGAACGCUGGCGGCGUGCUUAACACAUGCAAGUCGAACGGUGAAGCCCCAGCUUGCUGGAGUGGAUCAGUGGCGAACGGGUGAGUAACACGUGAGCAACCUGCCCCUGACUCUGGAAUAAGCGCUGGAAACGGCGUCUAAUACUGGAUACGAGAAGGGUCCGCAUGGGCACUUUCUGGAAAGUUUUUCGGUUGGGGAUGGGCUCGCGGCCUAUCAGCUUGUUGGUGAGGUAAUGGCUCACCAAGGCGACGACGGGUAGCCGGCCUGAGAGGGCGACCGGCCACACUGGGACUGAGACACGGCCCAGACUCCUACGGGAGGCAGCAGUGGGGAAUAUUGCACAAUGGGCGCAAGCCUGAUGCAGCGACGCCGCGUGAGGGAUGACGGCCUUCGGGUUGUAAACCUCUUUCAGCAGGGAAGAAGCGAAAGUGACGGUACCUGCAGAAGAAGCACCGGCUAACUACGUG